GGAGGACCGUAGCUCAGUGGGUAGAGGGCAUGCUUAGUGUGCCAAAGGUCCUGAGUUCAAUCCCCGGCAUCUCCA